GACGAACGCUGGCGGCGUGCUUAACACAUGCAAGUCGAACGGAAAGGCCCUGCUUUUGUGGGGUGCUCGAGUGGCGAACGGGUGAGUAACACGUGAGUAACCUGCCCUUGACUUUGGGAUAACUUCAGGAAACUGGGGCUAAUACCGGAUAGGAGCUCCUGCUGCAUGGUGGGGGUUGGAAAGUUUCGGCGGUUGGGGAUGGACUCGCGGCUUAUCAGCUUGUUGGUGGGGUAGUGGCUUACCAAGGCUUUGACGGGUAGCCGGCCUGAGAGGGUGACCGGCGACAUUGGGACUGAGAUACGGCCCAGAGUCCUACGGGAGGCAGCAGUGGGGAAUAUUGCACAAUGGGCGGAAGCCUGAUGCAGCAACGCCGCGUGCGGGAUGACGGCCUUCGGGUUUUAAACCGCUUUCGCCUGUGACGAAGCGUGAGUGACGGUAAUGGGUAAAGAAGCACCGGCUAACUACGUG
rnacentral:rRNA from 1 species